rnacentral:ncRNA from 1 species
GCCGGACCCGACGUCAGCGCGGGUCCCCGGACGAGGGGCGCCGUACCCGGAGAGCGACAAGACGGCAGCCGA